rnacentral:lncRNA from 1 species
AUUUUUCCUCUGAACCAAACUGAUUCUUUAUCGCUUAGCCUCAUCCUUAGCAAUAACGUCUGUGAAGCUGCAGGAUGACUGUGCGAACGAUGGACACGUGUGACAUUUCUAAUACACAUCUCAACAGCUCACUCCCACCUGUUACAUUGUCUGCCUGUCCAUGCCCCACACAGCACACAGGAAAAACCUGCCCACACCACGGGACACUUGCACUCAGGAAACCAAGAGGGCUUCAGGGCGACUUCGUGAGGAAUUCACUGCCUGAACAUCAUUUCAAGAUUAAGAGAGGGAUUUCCAAAGCCUGGGAGCUUUCUGAAAUACAGGCCUUAAACAGAAGACUAUUUGCAAACUGAAGAUAACGUUAUGAAGGAAAAUUUGGAAAUGUUCGUAAUGGAUUGAGGAAGUAAGUUCUGGCCAAGUUCUAAUUCAUUUUUUUUUUUUUGAGACCGAGUCUCACUCUCAC